UCCCUGGUGGCUCAGACAGUAAAGAAUCUGCUUGCAGAGCAGGAGAUCCUGGGUUCGAUCCCUGGGCUGGGAA
rnacentral:tRNA from 1 species